rnacentral:rRNA from 1 species
UACAGAGGUGGCAAGCGUUGUUCGGAAUUACUGGGCGUAAAGGGCGCGUAGGCGGCCUUUCAAGUCCUGUGUGAAAUCCCUCGGCUCAACUGAGGAAUUGCACGGGAAACUGUUUGGCUUGAGUUCGGGAGAGGGAAGCGGAAUUCCGGGUGGAGCGGUGAAAUGCGUAGCUAUCCGGAGGAACCCCGGUGGCUAAGGCGGCUUCCUGGACCGACACUGACGCUGAGGCGCGAAAGCUAGGGGAGCAAACGGG